GUGCUUACUUCUGCAGCACACACACUAAACUUGGACAACAUAGACAUCAGCAUGACCCCUGCACAAGGAUGACACACAAAUUCAUUAUGUGCUCCAUUUUUAU